rnacentral:rRNA from 1 species
AGUGAACGCUGGCGGUAGGCCUAACACAUGCAAGUCGAACGGCAGCACAGGAGAGCUUGCUCUCUGGGUGGCGAGUGGCGGACGGGUGAGGAAUACAUCGGAAUCUACCUUUUCGUGAGGGAUAACGUAGGGAAACUUACGCUAAUACCGCAUACGACCUACGGGUGAAAGUGGGGGACCGCAAGGCCUCACGCGAUUAGAUGAGCCGAUGUCCGAUUAGCUAGUUGGCGGGGUAAUGGCCCACCAAGGCGACGAUCGGUAGCUGGUCUGAGAGGAUGAUCAGCCACACUGGAACUGAGACACGGUCCAGACUCCUACGGGAGGCAGCAAUGGGGAAUAUUGGACAAUGGGCGCAAGCCUGAUCCAGCCAUACCGCGUGGGUGAAGAAGGCCUUCGGGUUGUAAAGCCCUUUUGUUGGGAAAGAAAUCCUGUCGAUUAAUACUCGGUGGGGAUGACGGUACCCAAAGAAUAAGCACCGGCUAACUCCGUGCCAGCAGCCGCGGUAACAC